rnacentral:lncRNA from 1 species
AGAAAUUUGCAACUAUAAUUGAGUAUUAUAUUGAAAAAGAAUAUAUCAGCAUAUAUAACAUUAAAAUAAAAUUAAUUUUUUUUCAAUUUUUAAUGUUUCCAUAGUAUAUGACGAUAAAAUUAACAUUUUUACUAAAAGUUCAUAUCUGCAUAGAGUGGGACCAAUAUUGAAAAUUGUGCCAUUUAAUUGGUACGUCUUUUUAUGUAAUAUGAUAAUGAUAUUCACCAUGCUGUCUCCUACUAUAUGAUGUGCUAAUUUUACUUUCUAUCAACUUUUAAUCCAUUAACACUAGAAAACCCACUUUUUUGUAGGAAUGAUUGGAUUAAUAAAAACAACUAUGGAUUGUUCUUUACGUAUUUUUAUGAUAAGAACACCGCUAAGUCUGACAAGAUAAAAACUUAUAACUUCUGCCAAAGGAAAAUGUUAAAAGGUAGUUUACAUAAUAAAAAUCAGCAUUAGACAGCUUCCAAUCUCUUAGCAACCUAACCAAAAUAGGGAGAAUCGACUAGUAGUAUACUGGGCGGUGCUUUUAACAAAAGUGAGCCUGCCCCUUUUGGAGAGGAAAUCCCUCUUCCAUCCCACAAUUCCUCUAUCAAAUCUGUUAAUUACCGGAUCCCCACAUCUCCAUUCAUAAAACUGGUACAAAAGGAAGAUCAAGAUAUUUAAGAGGACGAGAAGAUACCGUACACCCUAGAUCCCAACAUAAACUUCACCAUCCAAACCAUUACUCGAAAGGACCAGUUCAGAUCUGGCCAUGUUAAUCUUGAGCCCAGAAACAGCUUAAGCACAAAGCAAAAUGCACAUGAAAUGAAGGAGAGCUUCCUUAUUAGGCUAGCAAGUCAAUCCAUUCCCCGUCUCCAAUAUCCAAAGAAUCAAACACAAGGUCAUCAAGAGCAGGCCUCCGCUCCUCAAGCUCAGUGUACAAACCAACAAGAAACCCUUCACACUCCUUUGCCCCUG